rnacentral:tRNA from 1 species
UAGCCUAGUGGUUAAGGCUAUGGAUUGCCAAUCCGGAGAGAGCGGGUUCGAUUCCCGU